rnacentral:rRNA from 1 species
CCUACGGGGUGCAGCAGUGGGGAAUAUUGCGCAAUGGGCGAAAGCCUGACGCAGCGACGCCGCGUGAGGGAUGAAGGUCUUCGGAUCGUAAACCUCUGUCAGCAGGGAAGAACGGUCACUGUGCUAAUCAGCAGUGAAUUGACGGUACCUGCAAGGGAAGCACCGGCUAACUCCGUGCCAGCAGCCGCGGUAAUACGGAGGGUGCGAGCGUUAAUCGGAAUUACUGGGCGUAAAGGGCUCGUAGGCGGUAUGUCAAGUCAAGGGUGAAAUCCCCGCGCUCAACGUGGGAACUGCCUUUGAAACUGGCAGACUGGAGUGUGUGAGAGGAUAGUGGAAUGCCAGGUGUAGGAGUGAAAUCCGUAGAUAUCGGGAGGAACAUCAGUGGCGAAGGCGACUAUCUGGCACAUAACUGACGCUGAGGAGCGAAAGCGUGGGUAGCAAACAGGAUUAGAUACCCUAGUAGUC